rnacentral:rRNA from 1 species
AUUAGGAAUCUUGCGCAAUGGGCGAAAGCCUGACGCAGCGACGCCGCGUGCGGGAUGAAGGCCUUCGGGUCGUAAACCGCUUUUCUGGGGGAAGAAGAAUGUGACGGUACCCCAGGAAUAAGCCCCGGCUAACUACGUGCCAGCAGCCGCGGUAAUACGUAGGGGGCGAGCGUUGUCCGAAGUUACUGGGCGUAAAGCGCGCGUAGGCGGUUCUUUAAGUCUGGGGUGAAAGGUUCAGGGCUCAACCCGAACAGUGCCUUGGAUACUGAGGAACUUGAGUGUCAAAGAGGAGAGUGGAAUUCCUGGUGUAGCGGUGAAAUGCGUAGAUAUCAGGAGGAACACCGAUGGCGAAGGCAGCUCUCUGGUUGACAACUGACGCUGAGGUGCGAAAGCGUGGGGAGCGAACGG